rnacentral:rRNA from 1 species
CACGCCGUAAACGAUGAUUACUGGGUGUAGGGGGUAUCGACUCCCUCUGUGCCGAAGCAAACGCGAUAAGUAAUCCACCUGGGGAGUACGGCCGCAAGGCUAAAACUCAAAGGAAUUGACGGGGGCCCGCACAAGCAGUGGAGUAUGUGGUUUAAUUCGAGGCAACGCGAAGAACCUUACCAGGGUUUGACAUCCCGCGCUAGAGGUAGAGAUACCUUGUUCCCUUCGGGGACGCGGAGACAGGUGG